UUUAAUUAGGAUGACUAUGCUGCUGAUGAUGACCAAUAUGAAGAGAAAUUGAAGAAGGAAACUUUGGCCUUCUUUUGUGUUGCUACUUAUGGAGACGGAGAGCCUACUGACAAUGCUGCUAGAUUUUUCAAAUGGUUUACGGAGGAUAAUGAACGGGAUAUAAGUCUUGGACAACUAACAUAUGGUGUGUUUGC